rnacentral:rRNA from 1 species
GAUGAACGCUGACAGAAUGCUUAACACAUGCAAGUCUUUGGCGAAGCUGUGCUUGCACAGCCUAGCCAAGGCGGACGGGUGAGUAACGCGUAAGGAACUUGCCCUGCAGUCAGGGAUAACAGACGGAAACGACUGAUAAGACCUGGUAAAGUCAGGCGGACUCAUGUCCAGCCUGAUGAAAAGAGAUGCUGCAGGAGAGCCUUGCGUCCUAUUAGCUUGUUGGUGGGGUAACGGCCCACCAAGGCGAUGAUAGGUAGCCGGCCUGAGAGGGUGGACGGCCACAAGGGGACUGGGAUACGGCCCUUACUCCUACGGGAGGCAGCAGUGGGGAAUAUUGGACAAUGGGGGCAACCCUGAUCCAGCAAUUCUGUGUGCACGAUGAAGGUUUUCGGAUUGUAAAGUGCUUUCAGCAGGGAAGAAAAAAUGACGGUACCUGCAGAAGAAGCGACGGCUAAAUACGUG